CCUAUACCAGGCUAUUCCAUACCCUAUGGAAGAAAUUAUGCUAGUAUGAGUAAUGUGAGGUUGCGAACCUCUCUGGCACAAGUAUUUAUCGGAACGGACCUCCCACCGAAUUUUAACGGCCCCAUAAAGAGGGUACUAUAUGAUAGACACAAGGCAAGAAAACCAUGUAACUCACACCGUUGAUCUCACACUAGGGUGCCCCUAAGGAAAGACUUAAAGAAAGAGAAGGAACUCGGCAAAUUUUAAGCCUCGCCUGUUUACCAGAAACAUCGCCUUCUGCAUUUAUUAGUAUAGAAGGUCCCGCCUGCCCUGUGACUUAUGUUUAACGGCCGCGGUAUUCUGACCGUGCAAAGGUAGCGCAAUCACUUGUCUUUUAAAUGAAGACCUGUAUGAAUGGCAUGACGAGGGCUUUACUGUCUCCUCUUUUUGGUCCAUGAAAUUGAUCUUUCCGUGCAGAAGCGGGAAUACCAACAUAAGACGAGAAGACCCUGUGGAGCUUCAGACUCCUAAGCAGCCCCCGUUAAUAAAGCCUAGUUAAUGGUUUAUAACUUUGAACUACCUGCCUUACUGUCUUUGGUUGGGGCGACCGCGGAGAAUUACUAAACCUCCAUGUGGACCGAAAGAACUAAUCUUUUAUAACUCAGGGCGGCAGCCCUAAGUAGCAGGAUUUCUGACCAGAAAUGAUCCGGCAGAGCCGAUCAACGAACCAAGUUACCCCAGGGAUAACAGCGCAAUCCCCUUUUAGAGCCCGUAUCGACAAGGGGGUUUACGACCUCGAUGUUGGAUCAGGACAUCCUAAUGGUGCAGCCGCUAUUAAGGGUUCGUUUGUUCAACGAUUAAAGUCCU
rnacentral:rRNA from 1 species